rnacentral:rRNA from 1 species
UACGAAGGGGGCUAGCGUUGUUCAGAAUCACUGGGCGUAAAGCGCACGUAGGCGGAUCUUUAAGUCAGAGGUGAAAUCCCAAGGCUCAACCUUGGAACUGCCUUUGAUACUGGGGAUCUUGAGUAUGGAAGAGGUAAGUGGAAUUCCGAGUGUAGAGGUGAAAUUCGUAGAUAUUCGGAGGAACACCAGUGGCGAAGGCGACUCUCUAGUACGGUACUGACGCUGAGACGCGAAAGCGUGGGGAGCGAACGAGGA